CAAUAGCGUAUAUUAAAGUUGUUGCAGUUAGAACGCUCGUAGUCGGAUUUCGGGGCGUUCCGACCGGUCUGCCGAUGGGUAUGCACUGGCCGGAGUGUCCUUUUUGCCGGAGACCGUGCCUACUCUUAACUGAGCGGGGGCGGGAGACGGCACUUUUACUUUGAAAAAAUCAGAGUGUUUCAAGCAGGCAGCUCGCUCUUGCAUGGAUUAGCAUGGGAUAAUGAAAUAGGACUUUGGUGCUAUUUUGUUGGUUUCGAACGCCGAAGUAAUGAUGAGAAGGGACAGUCAGGGGCACUCGUAUUCCGCAGAGAGAGGUGAAAUUCUCAGACCCGCGGAAGACGAACCACUGCGAAAGCAUUUGCCAGGGAUGUUUUCACUGA
rnacentral:rRNA from 1 species